rnacentral:rRNA from 1 species
GAUGAACGCUGGCGGCGUGCUUAACACAUGCAAGUCGAACGGUGAACCCGGAGCUUGCUCUGUGGGAUCAGUGGCGAACGGGUGAGUAACACGUGAGCAACCUGCCCCUGACUCUGGGAUAAGCGCUGGAAGCGGCGUCUAAUACUGGAUAUGUGACGUGACCGCAUGGUCUGCGUUUGGAAAGAUUUUUCGGUUGGGGAUGGGCUCGCGGCCUAUCAGCUUGUUGGUGAGGUAAUGGCUCACCAAGGCGUCGACGGGUAGCCGGCCUGAGAGGGUGACCGGCCACACUGGGACUGAGACACGGCCCAGACUCCUACGGGAGGCAGCAGUGGGGAAUAUUGCACAAUGGGCGCAAGCCUGAUGCAGCAACGCCGCGUGAGGGAUGACGGCCUUCGGGUUGUAAACCUCUUUUAGCAGGGAAGAAGCGAAAGUGACGGUACCUGCAGAAAAAGCGCCGGCUAACUACGUG